UGCUCCUGCUCAGGUCUUGCAGUUCCUGGUCGCUCAUUCAGACCACCAUUCAAGCAAUUCUCAGGAGCCAGGAGGGAAGUCUUGGUUCUUUGCAGGAGCUGGCGUUGCUCACCGGUAUCAUCAGCAAAGCUGCACUUCCAGGCGUUCUCAACGAGCUGGAUAUCGGUUUAAAUGAAGGAUCAAUGAUGGAGCUACAAGGACAUAUUGGACGCUUCCAGCGCCAGUGUCUUGCAUUAUUAAACCGCUUUGGUGGGUCCGAUAGACUUCGGCAGCUCAGUCUGCAAGACGAUUCCUCCCAGCUGGACGGAGUAAGCAAGAGGGACGCCAUGGAAUUAGCCAUGCAACAGGUAAUGGUUAAAAUACAUCAAGAUGGAAUCAUAAACACUAAUAGGUAAUGAUGUUGCAGUCAAUUUCUCAGGUCUCAAGGGAAAACCUAGGGAUGUACCGAAUCCACUAUUUUGGAUUCGGCCGGACCCCCAAAUCUUUUCCGAAAGAUUCAGCCGAAUACCGAACCAAAUCCUAAUUUGCAUAUUCAAAUUAGGGGUGGGAAGGGGAAAACAUUUUUACUUCCUUGUUAUAUGACAAAAAGAAACACGAUAUUCCUCCCCGCACCUAAUUUGCAUAUGCAAAUUAGGAUUUGGUUCGGCC